rnacentral:rRNA from 1 species
AUUGAACGCUGGCGGCACGCCUAACACAUGCAAGUCGAGCGGCAGCGAGACUAGUAGCAAUACUAGUUGUCGGCGAGCGGCGGACGGGUGAGUAACACGUAGGAAUCUGCCCUUAAGCGGGGGAUAACCAAGGGAAACUUUGGCUAAUACCGCAUAAUCUCGAGAGAGCAAAGCUGCCCGCAAGGGUGGCACUUGAGGAGGAGCCUGCGUCCGACUAGCUAGUUGGUGGGGUAAUGGCCUACCAAGGCGAUGAUCGGUAACUGGUCUGAGAGGACGACCAGUCACACUGGGACUGAGACACGGCCCAGACUCCUACGGGAGGCAGCAGUGGGGAAUAUUGGACAAUGGGGGCAACCCUGAUCCAGCGAUGCCGCGUGAGUGAAGAAGGCCUUCGGGUCGUAAAGCUCUUUAGGUUGGGAAGAAGGGUAUUGGCUGAAUAAUCCAGUACUUUGACGGUACCGACAGAAUAAGCACCGGCAAACUCUGUGCCAGCAGCCGCUGUAAAAC